rnacentral:rRNA from 1 species
CUACAGGCUUAACACAUGCAAGUCGAGGGGCAGCAUGGUCUUAGCUUGCUAAGGCCGAUGGCGACCGGCGCACGGGUGAGUAACACGUAUCCAACCUGCCGUCUACUCUUGGACAGCCUUCUGAAAGGAAGAUUAAUACAAGAUGGCAUCAUGAGUCCGCAUGUUCACAUGAUUAAAGGUAUUCCGGUAGACGAUGGGGAUGCGUUCCAUUAGAUAGUAGGCGGGGUAACGGCCCACCUAGUCUUCGAUGGAUAGGGGUUCUGAGAGGAAGGUCCCCCACAUUGGAACUGAGACACGGUCCAAACUCCUACGGGAGGCAGCAGUGAGGAAUAUUGGUCAAUGGGCGAGAGCCUGAACCAGCCAAGUAGCGUGAAGGAUGACUGCCCUAUGGGUUGUAAACUUCUUUUAUAAAGGAAUAAAGUCGGGUAUGCAUACCCGUUUGCAUGUACUUUAUGAAUAAGGAUCGGCUAACUCCGUGCCAGCAGCCGCGGUAAUACGGAGGAUCCGAGCGUUAUCCGGAUUUAUUGGGUUUAAAGGGAGCGUAGAUGGAUGUUUAAGUCAGUUGUGAAAGUUUGCGGCUCAACCGUAAAAUUGCAGUUGAUACUGGAUAUCUUGAGUGCAGUUGAGGCAGGCGGAAUUCGUGGUGUAGCGGUGAAAUGCUUAGAUAUCACGAAGAACUCCGAUUGCGAAGGCAGCCUGCUAAGCUGCAACUGACAUUGAGGCUCGAAAGUGUGGGUAUCAAACAGGAUUAGAUACCCUGGUAGUCCACACGGUAAACGAUGAAUACUCGCUGUUUGCGAUAUACAGCAAGCGGCCAAGCGAAAGCGUUAAGUAUUCCACCUGGGGAGUACGCCGGCAACGGUGAAACUCAAAGGAAUUGACGGGGGCCCGCACAAGCGGAGGAACAUGUGGUUUAAUUCGAUGAUACGCGAGGAACCUUACCCGGGCUUAAAUUGCAGAUGAAUUACGGUGAAAGCCGUAAGCCGCAAGGCAUCUGUGAAGGUGCUGCAUGGUUGUCGUCAGCUCGUGCCGUGAGGUGUCGGCUUAAGUGCCAUAACGAGCGCAACCCUUGUUGUCAGUUACUAACAGGUUCCGCUGAGGACUCUGACAAGACUGCCAUCGUAAGAUGUGAGGAAGGUGGGGAUGACGUCAAAUCAGCACGGCCCUUACGUCCGGGGCUACACACGUGUUACAAUGGGGGGGUACAGAGGGCCGCUACCACGCGAGUGGAUGCCAAUCCCAAAAACCUCUCUCAGUUCGGACUGGAGUCUGCAACCCGACUCCACGAAGCUGGAUUCGCUAGUAAUCGCGCAUCAGCCACGGCGCGGUGAAUACGUUCCCGGGCCUUGUACACACCGCCCGUCAAGCCAUGGGAGCCGGGGGUACCUGAAGUGCGUAACCGCGAGGAGCGCCCUAGGGUAAAACUGGUGACUGGGGCUAA